rnacentral:rRNA from 1 species
GAUGAACGCUGGCGGCGUGCCUAAUACAUGCAAGUCGAGCGAACGGACGAGAAGCUUGCUUCUCUGAUGUUAGCGGCGGACGGGUGAGUAACACGUGGAUAACCUACCUAUAAGACUGGGAUAACUUCGGGAAACCGUAGCUAAUACCGGAUAAUAUUUUGAACCGCAUGGUUCAAAAGUGAAAGACGGUCUUGCUGUCACUUAUAGAUGGAUCCGCGCUGCAUUAGCUAGUUGGUAAGGUAACGGCUUACCAAGGCAACGAUGCAUAGCCGACCUGAGAGGGGGAUCGGCCACACUGGAACUGAGACACGGUCCAGACUCCUAGGGGAGGCAGCAGUAGGGAAUCUUCCGCAAUGGGCGAAAGCCUGACGGAGCACCGCCGCGUGAGUGAUGAAGGUCUGCGGAUCGUAAAACUCUGUAUUAGGGAAGAACAUAUGUGUAAGUAACUGUGCACAUCUUGACGGUACCUAAUCAGAAAGCCACGGCUAACUACGUG